rnacentral:rRNA from 1 species
UACGGGGGGAGCAAGCGUUGUUCGGAUUUACUGGGCGUAAAGGGCGCGUAGGCGGCGCAACAAGUCACUUGUGAAAUCUCCGGGCUUAACCCGGAGCGGUCAAGUGAUACUGUCGUGCUAGAGUGCGGAAGGGGCUACUGGAAUUCUCGGUGUAGCGGUGAAAUGCGUAGAUAUCGAGAGGAACACCUGCGGCGAAGGCGGGUUGCUGGGCUGACACUGACGCUGAGGCGCGAAAGCCAGGGGAGCGAACGGG